UGUAGAGGUGCUGCAUGGCUGUCGUCAGCUCGUGUCGUGAGAUGUUGGGUUAAGUCCCGCAACGAGCGCAACCCUUGUCUUUAAUUGCCAUCAUUAAGUUGGGCACUUUAAAGAGACUGUCGGUGUUAAACCGGAGGAAGGUGGGAUGACGUCAAGUCCUCAUGGCCUUUAUGCCCAGGGCUACACACGUGCUACAAUGGGUGGUACAAAGAGCAGCGAGCUUGCGAGAGUGAGCGAAUCUCAAAAAGCCAUCCCAGUUCGGAUUGAAGUCUGCAACUCGACUUCAUGAAGUCGGAAUCGCUAGUAAUCGCGGAUCAGCUACGCCGCGGUGAAUACGUUCUCCGGGCCUU
rnacentral:rRNA from 1 species